AGGCAAUACCUACUCCCUGCCAAAGGAGAACCCAGUUACUGAACAUCGGAUGAGAACAUGGAUAGCAAAUUGGGAGUGAAGGUUCAUACCUGGGUCUCAGAAGCACAGUACAGGUUUUUAGAACAAGCCACCUUAUACAAGUUAAAAUUCAUGAAGCAAUGGACACAGGUUAAGUUAUACCAGCCUGAGUAUGACAGCAACAUUCCUUUAGGGAUUAAAGAAAAUGCUUCAGAAGAUUGGAACACUGCUCAGCCUUCCCAAACUUCUUUUACCACUGAUGUUUCUACCUUAGUGAUCUUCCUCCCAUUUUGAUGCUUCUUUCUCUUUACACUUAAAAGUUCAUAAAAUCUUUCAACAUUAUUUUUCACUAUAAAAGUUUGAAGUUCUCUGUGAAAUGCCUACUAUGUAAGAAUUAAGAUAGAUUUUAAAGAUUGUUAGUCUCGAAACUCCAUGCUCAUCAGUUAGUGCAUGAUAUUAAAUUAUGCUUUUUUCCUCCUUUUAAAUAUACCAACAUUAUAUUGCUGA